CUCAGUUCGGAUCGGAGUCUGNAACCCGACUCCGUGAAGCUGGAUUCGCUAGUAAUCGCGCAUCAGCCAUGGCGCGGUGAAUACGUUCCCGGGCCUUGUACACACCGCCCGUCAAGCCAUGGAAGCCGGGGGUGCCUGAAGUGUGCAGCCGCAAGGAGCGCCCUAAGGUAAAACCGGUGACUGGGGCUAAGUCGUAACAAGGUAUC
rnacentral:rRNA from 1 species